UCAAGCUAGAAAGAGCGCAAGGGGAAUGCCUUGGCAUCAGGAGCCGAUGAAGGACGCGACAAGCUGCGAUAAGCUUCGGGUAGCUGCAAAUAAGCAAUGAUCCGGAGAUUUCCGAAUGGGGCAACCCGGCACGGCAAUACCGUGUCAGCGUGCACUGAAUCAAAUAGGUGUACGUGGGGAACCGCCUGAACUGAAACAUCUAAGUAGGGCGAGGAAAAGACAUCAACCGAGAUUCCGCAAGUAGUGGCGAGCGAACGCGGAGGAGGCCAAACCAGAGGUCAUUGAUCUCUGGGGUAAGGACUUGCAUCAUGAUCAGAGGUAUCUAGUCGAAUGGCGUGGGAAAGCCAACCACAGAGGGUGAGAGUCCCGUAGACGAAAGAGAAGACUGACAGCGAGUAUCCAGAGUACCGCCGGACACGUGAAACCCGGUGGGAACAUGGGAGGACCACCUUCCAAGCCUAAAUACUACCUGAUGACCGAUAGAGAAGCAGUACCGUGAGGGAAAGGUGAAAAGAACCCCGGGAGGGGAGUGAAAUAGUACCUGAAACCGUAUGUCUACAAGCAGUCGAAGCGAAAGCGACGGCGUGCCUAUUGAAGAAUGAACCAACGAGUUAUCUGCACUAGCGAGGUUAAGUGGAAGACACGGAGCCGCAGCGAAAGCGAGUCUUAAGAGGGCGCUAGUUAGUGUAGGUAGACCCGAAACCGCAGUGAUCUACCCAUGUCCAGGUUGAAGCGCAGGUAAAAUUGCGUGGAGGACCGAACCGGUGAGCGUUGAAAAGCUUUCGGAUGAGAUGUGGGUAGGGGUGAAAUUCCAAUCGAACGCGGAGAUAGCUGGUUCUCCCCGAAAUAGCUUUAGGGCUAGCCUGAGGUAGUAAGUAUAGGCGGUAGAGCACUGAUCGGGCUAGGGGCCGUAAAGGUUACCGAACCCUGUCAAACUCCGAAUGGAUAUACUGUAGAGCCUUGGAGUCAGACUACGAGUGAUAAGAUCCGUGGUCAAAAGGGAAACAGCCCAGACCACCAGCUAAGGUCCCCAAUGUCGUACUAAGUGGAAAAGGAUGUGGGGUUUCAUAAACAACCAGGAUGUUGGCUCAGAAGCAGCCACCAUUUAAAGAGUGCGUAAUAGCUCACUGGUCGAGAGACCCUGCGCCGAAGAUUCCCGGGGCUAAAGUACGAAACCGAAGCUGUGGCUGUAUACGUAAAGUAUACGGGGUAGGGGAGCGUUCCCAUAGGGUAGAAGUCGAACUGGAAGGUUCGGUGGACUUGUGGGAAGUGAGAAUGUUGGUAUGAGUAGCGAAAAGAAAGGUGAGAAUCCUUUCCACCGAAAGCAUAAGGAUUCCUGAGCAACGAUCGUCGUCUCAGGGUAAGUCGGGACCUAAUCCGAGGCAGAGAGCGUAGGAGAUGGACAACUGGUUGAUAUUCCAGUACCGGUAGUAAUUGUUUGAGCAAUGGAGUGACACAGAAGGGCAGGCAAGCAUGCGAAUGGAAGAGCAUGUGUAAGCGUGUAGGGUGGUGCAUAGGCAAAUCCGUGCACUGAAAGCCUGAGGCGUGAUGCGGAGUGAGCAGAGAUGCGAGCGAAGUUGUUGACCCCACACUGUCGAGAAAAGCUUCUAGUGAGAGAGCUACCGCCCGUACCGUAAACCGACACAGGUAUGCGGGGAGAGAAUCCUAAGGUGCGCGGGAGAACCCUCGUUAAGGAACUCGGCAAAAUGUACCCGUAACUUCGGGAUAAGGGUAGCCACUGUUGUGAAGUCCCAUGCGGAUGGAGCAUAGAGUGGUCGCAGAGAAGAGGCCCAAGCGACUGUUUACCAUAAACACAGGUGCCUGCUAAAGCGAAAGCUGACGUAUAGGUGCUGACACCUGCCCAGUGCCGGAAGGUUAAGGAAGGAUGUUCGGAUUAGUCCAAAGCAUUCGACUGAAGCCCCGGUGAACGGCGGCCGUAACUAUAACGGUCCUAAGGUAGCGAAAUUCCUUGUCGGGUAAG
rnacentral:rRNA from 1 species